AAAAACAGAGUGACAUUGGGUUCGGCAAGGAGGGAGGUGGAGAGAUGGGGCUAUCGUGCUUCGCCUGCUUCGACGGAGGAAACAAGAAACAGAGACGAGAAGAAGAGAGAUUGGCCUCUGCAGAAGCUCGUGCUAAAGCAGCCGAAGCUGCCCAGAAAAGGCAAGAGCAAUUUGAAAAAUCUGCAGCAGGAAGAGCUGCACGGGCGCAGCUACAGGGGAUGGCAAAGCAAUCUGCAAAUUCUAACAAAGGCGAACCGGUUCUAAAGUGGCAGCUGAGUUGAAACUAGGAUUUGUCCUUGGUACAGCUGCGGUUUUUUUUUUGUCUAAGUCAUGGGCAAUCUAUGAAGACAAAUCUCAGAAUCAGGGAGUUAAAUGUUCAUUUGAUUGAAUUCAACCACAUUCUCUGCCUUCCCAGUUUCUCACCUUCUGAAGGCGCUCUGUCAAUAACUUUGCAACAGAUGCUGCAUCCCAAAUGUCAUUAUUUAUCGCCAGUUUUUUUUAUAUAUAUACUUAUCUGAUGAUGACAUAUGUUGUACAGAAGUAAUGUGGAAUGGUCCAAUUAUGCCAUGAUAGCAGAUCAUCCUCGAUGUUUAUGUUGUUAUAUCGGAUAACAAAAAUCUUUUAUCCCCUUUUCUGAAGAACAUAACAGUUAGUUGAGCUCUUGUUGGAGUAUAAUGGGUUUGUUUUUG